rnacentral:rRNA from 1 species
AGAGUUUGAUCCUGGCUCAGGAUGAACGCUAGCUACAGGCUUAACACAUGCAAGUCGAGGGGCAGCAUGGUCUUAGCUUGCUAAGGCCGAUGGCGACCGGCGCACGGGUGAGUAACACGUAUCCAACCUGCCGUCUACUCUUGGACAGCCUUCUGAAAGGAAGAUUAAUACAAGAUGGCAUCAUGAGUCCGCAUGUUCACAUGAUUAAAGGUAUUCCGGUAGACGAUGGGGAUGCGUUCCAUUAGAUAGUAGGCGGGGUAACGGCCCACCUAGUCUUCGAUGGAUAGGGGUUCUGAGAGGAAGGUCCCCCACAUUGGAACUGAGACACGGUCCAAACUCCUACGGGAGGCAGCAGUGAGGAAUAUUGGUCAAUGGGCGAGAGCCUGAACCAGCCAAGUAGCGUGAAGGAUGACUGCCCUAUGGGUUGUAAACUUCUUUUAUAAAGGAAUAAAGUCGGGUAUGGAUACCCGUUUGCAUGUACUUUAUGAAUAAGGAUCGGCUAACUCCGUGCCAGCAGCCGCGGUAAUACGGAGGAUCCGAGCGUUAUCCGGAUUUAUUGGGUUUAAAGGGAGCGUAGAUGGAUGUUUAAGUCAGUUGUGAAAGUUUGCGGCUCAACCGUAAAAUUGCAGUUGAUACUGGAUAUCUUGAGUGCAGUUGAGGCAGGCGGAAUUCGUGGUGUAGCGGUGAAAUGCUUAGAUAUCACGAAGAACUCCGAUUGCGAAGGCAGCCUGCUAAGCUGCAACUGACAUUGAGGCUCGAAAGUGUGGGUAUCAAACAGGAUUAGAUACCCUGGUAGUCCACACGGUAAACGAUGAAUACUCGCUGUUUGCGAUAUACGGCAAGCGGCCAAGCGAAAGCGUUAAGUAUUCCACCUGGGGAGUACGCCGGCAACGGUGAAACUCAAAGGAAUUGACGGGGGCCCGCACAAGCGGAGGAACAUGUGGUUUAAUUCGAUGAUACGCGAGGAACCUUACCCGGGCUUAAAUUGCAGAUGAAUUACGGUGAAAGCCGUAAGCCGCAAGGCAUCUGUGAAGGUGCUGCAUGGUUGUCGUCAGCUCGUGCCGUGAGGUGUCGGCUUAAGUGCCAUAACGAGCGCAACCCUUGUUGUCAGUUACUAACAGGUCAUGCUGAGGACUCUGACAAGACUGCCAUCGUAAGAUGUGAGGAAGGUGGGGAUGACGUCAAAUCAGCACGGCCCUUACGUCCGGGGCUACACACGUGUUACAAUGGGGGGUACAGAGGGCCGCUACCACGCGAGUGGAUGCCAAUCCCCAAAACCUCUCUCAGUUCGGACUGGAGUCUGCAACCCGACUCCACGAAGCUGGAUUCGCUAGUAAUCGCGCAUCAGCCACGGCGCGGUGAAUACGUUCCCGGGCCUUGCACACACCGCCCGUCA